CGCACCGCCCCGAGCCGAGCUGCAGGGGCCGGUUCCGUCCCCUGCCGGGCCCCGCUCGCUGCUGACGGGAGGUCCAGUAUGCCACUCACUGGGGACAGUCCAUCACUCCGCGGGCUCACUUCUGGACUACAGUCUUACUGGAAAGCUGAGGAACCAAGGAUGGUGUAUUCAGCAAGCUGCAGCAGACUGAGGGAAGGAGGGAAGGAAAACAGCAUUUCUUCUUUUGCCUCCUCUUUCUGAAGAGCAGUAGGACUUUGUUAUUAUUUAAAUAAUAGUGUUAAUUCCUUCUUUAAUAAACAUUUGACUUGUUCCUGGCAAAUACAUCAUGCUCCAGGGUGAUUUCAAGGUGUCAUUAUCUUCAAAGGCUUCAAAGCUGGCUGAGGCUGCAGCAUCCGUGUUUUAUUGGUAUCUCCCUGGAGCCGAGCACCACACCCUUGCAGCAUGCCAUGUCCCUUGGAUGCCAGGCAGGAGGAAGGAAUGAGCAGCCACCACUUCCGGGGCACUUUGAGGGCUUUUGCAUUGUGCACUGCCAUGAAGUAGUAGAAAUACUUUUUAAGUAAAAAAGGACUUCACCCUUAUUUGCCAGAUAGUCCUGUCAUUGAGUGAUGGUUUAUUAUUGAUUGAACUGACCUAUAGCUUAAGUUUUAAUAAAUAGUAUUCAUUUACUUACUUUUUUCUGAGCAACACCUAGUCACUGGAGAGGCUGCCCUAUAAGCCAAUCUGUAGAGCAUCUCAAUACCGGUGAGAAGAAGUAGGAUAAUUUACUUCUUUAUACAAGCCUGCCAUCUAGGCAAAUCUUUAUUAUGAGUUACUAUAAAAAGGUUACUGUUUGCUUUAGUCUCUCCUUAAGCCCGUUUUUACCAUUCAAUUAUACAUGUGUAUUUAACUGAGCAGUCACUUGCUAUGUAUAAAGAAGAAAAAUCGUUCCUGUUCCUACCACAUCUUCUGAUCCGAUUGAAGAUGCAGGUUAGGCCAAUACUCUGGGCCACGCUGAAUGUUGCAUUACAGCCUAUUUAUUUUAUUCCAGUGAUCUAAAAGGAAUAAAAAUGAGUGUUUCCUUCUUCUCUCUCCUCACCCCUCCCAGUAUACUGUGAGAGCAUCAGGGGCUACAGUAUAGCCUGAUGCUACAUUGUCAUCUUUAAGUCCCAGACAGAGAAUAUGCCUGUGGGAAACAGCAGCUGUACUUCAGUUUUUACUUUUCUUUUCCUAUUGGAACAAACCCUUUUGGCAGCAACUGCAAUCUUUGGGCUGCUCAAAAACACAGGCUGACCAAGCACACAGUUGCUUUUGAAAAUACAAUAUUAUAGAAGUGUCUUAAAAUCAUCUCUUCUCACUGGGAGAGGGGAAGACCUGGGAAAGGCCUCAAGAAGCUGAGCGCAGCAGCAGCAGCACAAUGCUGCUCAUGUUAAGUCUGUGACAGAAGGUGCUUAUCAUGCAAAUCGCUCUACAUUCAUCUGCAGUGCUGUCACCUUCAAGUACAAAGGACAUGGCCACAGCUGUAUUAACCUGCAUGACCCAGGUGGCAGGAGUUUCACUGUACUGUACAUUGUACAAAUGCAGAGUAAGGAUCAGUCCCUGUCAUGAAAUACCAUAUUCCCAGCAAGCAAGGAGAUUGAAGGUGUGAUGCAGAAGAAUAACAGCAGGUCACAGGGGUAUAGGAAAUCCAGAUUUCCUGUAUCCAGAACUGUUGUCCCUGCCCAUGGCAAGGGGGUUGGAACUAGAUGAUCCUAAGGUCCUUUCCAACCCUAACUAUUCUAUGAUACUAUAAAUCAAGUCAUCUGCUCUACUGAAAUACCUUUUUUCUGACAGCCUGAAUCCAUAGCCAUCACAACUUGGAGUAGAAUCGCUUUGGAUCCCUGCUUUAAAACAAAAAUCCCACCAUCCCCAGAGGAGCUGAACUAAAUCAAGCUCUUUGUGCCAGGCUCUGAUGUAAGAGAGGUUUUUGACAGAGUUCCCAAACAUGAACAAUCUUGCAGCAUCUUGCUGCAGAGCAGACUUCUGUUCCAGACUGAUCAUAGCCUGAUCCAGAUAUCCCCUGCGGCUUCCCCCUGAAAGGCAGUUUUCCCUGUGCAUGGACUAAGGGAAAGAAAUCUCUUUGGUUAUUGCUUACAUAUUGACAUGAUAAGUAACUUAUAAGUAAAGAUGUGCAGGACUGCUAGGUGAGCUCUCCCCAGUUAACCCAUCACAGGCUGGCUGAAAUCCAAUAUGCACAGCUGCAUGUACAUAUAUUAACAGGCACGUGUGCAGCUCAUGAAUUCCUGGCUUUGCAUCAAAGAGGCUGUAGAAGUAGUCAUCAGGCACUGUUCCCCAAGAUUAUUUCAUUUGUUCUUUGCUAAUGUACUUUUAGAUGCAUCGGGAGAGGUUUACAAGUAGGCCGCACAGGAUUUCUUAACCCCCUUCUUCACUUGGACAGAUUUUGCUCCCUGGUGAUGACUUUCUUUCCCAGAAAGCCAAAAUUGCAGCCAGGCCAGUUCUUCGGGCCUUGCUGCAGGGAACUGUGCACUCCUGGCUUGUGCCUGCAGUGCUCUCACUUUGGAUCAGGAUUUCUGCCUUGAUUUUUAAUGGGAGCAGGAAAGAUCUGUGGACUUUUGCAAGGUCUGCAGGUCUGAACAUGUGUCCUUUUUACAGCUAAUGGGCUUGUUGGCUGCCAACAGAAAGUGCAGGAUCAAGCCCUUUCCUAUAGAGCCUGAGACCAAACCUUUUCAUCACUGGUUCUGGGUAUCAGCACAAGCUGGAUCAUCAUAAAAUGCCGAUAAUCCCCCUUUUGGAUAUUGUUAUUUUUAAAUGCUGUUUUGCAAAUCUUUCCCUUAACUGCUUGUUUAUUUCUUGUUGGUUGAUUGAUUUUUAAAUGACUAGGUAAUUGUCAAGAACAUGGGUAUUUAUCUUAAUUUUAGCUAUGCUGAUGUAACAACAUCACUGAACUGAGUUUGGACCAGCAAAAGCAAUCUGCCCCUCCUCUCUGUCUAAGCAUCAAUCUUUUGCUUUGCCUGAUAUCUCAGUCGUGCUGUUUGCCAACAUUCCCAUCUCCUGUAGAGCUGGGAACAGGCCCCAACCCUGCCUAGUCAACUGGAAAACAAUAAGACCAUUCAUGUGCAUGGUUAUUCACUGGCAUAAAUGUUUGCAGAGGUACAGUCUGACUGGGACAGGCCCCUGUCAUUUGGAUGGUUCUAGAAGAUGGCUUUUUACAAUACUAGUAUUUUUAACCCAUUUAUUAGCUAGCUAUAGGGACAGAUUAGCUGGAGCAAGGUAGCAUUGCUCCAAACAGCUUCAGUUUGGCAUCCUUGGUUUGUACCAGCUGGAGAAUUUUUCCUGUAUUUUUCUUUUUUUUACCCACAACAUAGUGCUAUGCAUCAACAUGAAAUUUAAUUUUACUACUGUGGAAUUCACUGAAAUAAAACCCUGUAUGUGUUAACAUUUCUGUUCAGAAUUUGCAAUAUGGGCCUUCUCCAAUCAUCUUCUUUCAUUCCUGUGCUAUGCCACAUAAAUUACUUUCUUUUUGUUAUGUAGCUGAAAUCAUAGAGCUGUUUUUAAUUUAUGAUGCUCAUAACUCUGGGGGAGCAAGAGGAAAUAUCAGUGCAAUAAAAGAGUGAAGCUGGUGUACUGUGAACAUUGCCAGAAUGUCUCUUCUAGGAUUUGUGUGAUAUAAAAUUUUGCUGAAAGAAUGAAAGCAUAUGCUUAACUGA